rnacentral:snoRNA from 1 species
AGCGCUUUGUGUGUGUGUUUGUUCAACUGGUGGACAGAGGCAUGAGAGACAGGUGUAAAUAUAAAUCCUCUUUUGCAAUCCAGAACUCAUUGUUCAGUAUGUUUUUAUACACACAAGGAGGAAUAUG